UUCCACUGAGAAAUCUGCUGACAAUCUACUAGUAGCUCCUUUGUACAUAAAAGUUGCUUUUUCCUGGCUGCUUUCAAAAUUCUUUGCCUGUGACUUUUGACAAUUUGAUUAUAACGUCUGUCAGCUUACAAACGGGCCCCUCUACAAGGAGGGUAAGGAGAGACUGAAGAAUGAAGCAGACCACUUCAUAUUGAAAAAUGCUAAACAGAUAACUACAGGCUAGGGAAAGGACUGUGCUAGCUGGCAUGCAGUAAGAGCAACAGGAACAACAGUAAUGGCAGUAACAUAUACGGACUUCCUGUGAGUUGGCCACUGUUUUGAUUUACAUGUAUUAAGUCAUUUAGUGCUGACACCACUAUGAGGUAAGUACGAUCUUUAUUUCUCAGUUUACAGAUGAGGAAAGUGAGGUGCAGAGAGGUGAAAUAGCUUGUUCAAAGUUAUCCCGUUGGUAAGUAGUAAGGCCAGGAUUUGAACUUUUGAUAGUGGAGCUCCAGGCUGUACUUCACACCUUUGAACUAUCUUGCCUUUAGUGACUUGCUGCCUUUCUUCACUGUGGUUCACCUAGCUUCACCUUUGGGCUCAGGCCCAGAUCAAGUUUUCCCUAGUUUCUCCUUUCAGGCCUCUUACAGCCACUUUGGCAAGUACUGCUUUCCAAAGCCAGUGGAAAACACUGAUAGACUUCUCUGCUUUUUCUAUUGUAAAAAAGGCAAAUUGAAGUCAUGGAGUAAGAUAUAAAUCUCUCCUGCUUUCAGGUGGCAAGGGAGGUGAACCUAAAUCAACCUUGCUGUAUUUCUCAGAUUACUAUCUCAGCAUAUGAAGAAACAAAAUACCCAGAAUUUAUAGAGAAUUUAUUUGAUCUACAAAUCAAAUGCACCAAAGACAUGAACAGAAAAUUCACAAAAGAAAACAAGAGGCAAAUAUCUUUAUUUCAAAAUCAACCUUAGCUAGAUUCAUUUUUAUGUUUUUCUUUUUUCCUUGAUAUCGGCAAACUUUAAAAAGAUUGAUGUGGCUGAAGCUGGAGAAGGAUGGUAAGGAUGUGAGGGAGGUGAGAGACAGUGAAAAGGUAGUGGGAUUGGUGGAUUAUAGAUUCUGGUAGACCUGAAGUAAUGCCGGAUUGUGGUAUGAGAAGGAAUAAACAGGAAGGACAGGAGGUAGUGAUCAGAAUAUGGGAUUUUACAAUUGAGAAUGUGAAGAAUUUCAAUUUAUUGAUAAUGACAAGGUCUAGAGCAACACAGUCCAAUAAAAAUAUGUGCUGUGUAUAUACCUUAAAAUUUCACAGUAGCCAGAUUAAAAAAAGCAGGUAAAAUUAAUUUUAAUGUAUUUUAUUUAACCCAAUAUAUCCAAAAGAGUAACAUUUCAACAUGUAAUCAAAAGAUUAUUGAGAUGUUUUAUAUUCUCUUUUACAUAGUAAAUCUUUAAAACUUAAUGUGUAUUUUACACUUACUACAUAUCUCAAUUUAGACUACUCACAUUUCAAAUGCUCAGGAGCCACACAUGGCUAAUGACUACUAUAUUGGACAGCACAGGUCUAAAGUAUGACCAUGGGAAUAAGUGGUAGGAUAGACCAAGGUGUUGGAAGGAUCACCUAUGUGAAUACUAGAAUCACCAAGAAUGUUUUUCAGUCACCAAAAAGAACAUGUUAGACCUACACGUAAUGAGUUGGAAAGAUCUCCAAGACAUAUAUUGAAGGGAAAAUUAAUUUCCAGUAUAAUAUGUAUGGAUAAUACCAUUUAUUAAAAACAAUAUGUAAGUUACAAAAGAAUACUACAAGGAAAAAGAUGUGCUAACUUGAUAAUGGUUGCCUCUGGAGAAUGGAGUAGAAAUAGGAUGGAGUGGGAGUGAAGGGGGACUUUCAAGUCACGCUCUAUAUACUUCUGGAUCAUUUGUAUAUCUCACAA